rnacentral:rRNA from 1 species
CGAUGACUCUCUAGCUUGCUAGAGAUGAUUAGUGGCGGACGGGUGAGUAACAUUUAGGAAUCUACCUAGUAGUGGGGGAUAGCUCGGGGAAACUCGAAUUAAUACCGCAUACGACCUACGGGUGAAAGGGGGCGCAAGCUCUUGCUAUUAGAUGAGCCUAAAUCAGAUUAGCUAGUUGGUGGGGUAAAGGCCCACCAAGGCGACGAUCUGUAACUGGUCUGAGAGGAUGAUCAGUCACACCGGAACUGAGACACGGUCCGGACUCCUACGGGAGGCAGCAGUGGGGAAUAUUGGACAAUGGGGGCAACCCUGAUCCAGCCAUGCCGCGUGUGUGAAGAAGGCCUUUUGGUUGUAAAGCACUUUAAGCAGGGAGGAGAGGCUAAUGGUUAAUACCCAUUAGAUUAGACGUUACCUGCAGAAUAAGCACCGGCUAACUCUGUGCCAGCAGCCGCGGUAAUACAGAGGGUGCGAGCGUUAAUCGGAAUUACUGGGCGUAAAGCGAGUGUAGGUGGCUCAUUAAGUCACAUGUGAAAUCCCCGGGCUUAACCUGGGAACUGCAUGUGAUACUGGUGGUGCUAGAAUAUGUGAGAGGGAAGUAGAAUUCCAGGUGUAGCGGUG